rnacentral:rRNA from 1 species
GUCUACGGUCAUGCCACCCUGAACAAGCCCAAUCCCGUCUGAUCUUGGAAGCUAAGCAGAGUCAAGCCUGGUUAGAACUUGGAUGGGAGACCACUUAGGAAGAGCAGGUGCUGUAAGCU